rnacentral:rRNA from 1 species
CCUACGGGAGGCAGCAGUGAGGAAUAUUGGACAAUGGACGCAAGUCUGAACCAGCCAUGCCGCGUGAAGGAAGACGGCUCUAUGGGUUGUAAACUGCUUUUGUAGCGGGAUAAAUCACGGUACGUGUGUCGUGUUGAACGUAUCAUACGAAUAAGUAUCGGCUAACUCCGUGCCAGCAGCCGCGGUAAUCCGGAGGAUUCACGCGUUAGCCGGAUUUAGUGGGUUUAAAGGGUGUGUAGGCGGUUGGAUAAGUCAGAUGUGUAAUCCCGGGGCUCAACUGUGUAACUGCCUUUGAUACUGGCGGGCUAGAGUUCAGUUGCGGUAGGCGGAAUGUAUGGUGUAGCGGUGAAAUGCAUAGAGAUCAUACAGAACACCGAUUGCGAAGGCAGCUUACCAAACUACGACUGACGUUGAGGCACGAAAGCGUGGGGAGCAAACAGGAUUAGAUACCCGAGUAGUC